rnacentral:rRNA from 1 species
UACGUAGGGUGCAAGCGUUAAUCGGAAUUACUGGGCGUAAAGCGUGCGCAGGCGGUUGUGCAAGACCGAUGUGAAAUCCCCGGGCUUAACCUGGGAAUGGCAUUGGUGACUGUACGGCUAGAGUGUGUCGGAGGGGGGUAGAAUUCCACGUGUAGCAGUGAAAUGCGUAGAGAUGUGGAGGAAUACCGAUGGCGAAGGCAGCCCCCUGGGAUAACACUGACGCUCAUGCACGAAAGCGUGGGGAGCAAACAGG